UACGAAGGGGGCUAGCGUUGCUCGGAAUCACUGGGCGUAAAGCGCACGUAGGCGGGUCUUUAAGUCAGGGGUGAAAUCCUGGAGCUCAACUCCAGAACUGCCUUUGAUACUGAGGAUCUCGAGUCCGGGAGAGGUGAGUGGAACUCCGAGUGUAGAGGUGAAAUUCGUAGAUAUUCGCAAGAACACCAGUGGCGAAGGCGGCUCACUGGCCCGGUACUGACGCCGAGGUGCGAAAGCGUGGGGAGCAAACAGG
rnacentral:rRNA from 1 species